AUUGAACGCUGGCGGAAUGCUUUACACAUGCAAGUCGAGCGGCAGCACGGGGGCAACCCUGGUGGCGAGCGGCGAACGGGUGAGUAAUACAUCGGAACAUGCCCAGUCGUGGGGGAUAACACUUCGAAAGACGUGCUAAUACCGCAUACGUCCUGUGGGAGAAAGCGGGGGAUCGUCGGACCUCGCGCGAUUGGAGUGGCGGCUGUCAGAUUAGCUAGUUGGUGGGGUAAAGGCCUACCAAGGCAACGAUCUGUAGCUGGUCUGAGAGGAUGAUCAGCCACACUGGGACUGAGACACGGCCCAGCCUCCUACGGGAGGCGGCAGUGGGGAAUGGUGGACACUGGGGGCAACCCUGAUCCAGCCAUUCCGCGGGAGUGAAGAAGGCCUUCGGGUUGUAAAGCUCUUUCGGCAGGAACGAAACGGCGAGCUCUAACAUAGCUUGCUAAUGACGGUACCUGAAGAAGAAGCACCGGCUAACUACGUGCCAGCAGCCGCGGUAAAAC
rnacentral:rRNA from 1 species